rnacentral:lncRNA from 1 species
GGAGAUUCAACAUAUAGCCACAUAAUCAGACAACGACUUCAUCCGAGCAUUGGUAAAAGAUUACUUUGAAUGCUACAUGUGGCUUGUGUGUAGUUAAUUCUAAUCUGAAAGUGUUUAAGGAUAUUCAGAGAAUGCUACUUACAAUUUUACCAUGUUAUUUUGACUGAAAUGUUAAAUUAUACAGUUUUUUUUUUUUGGUUUCUUGUUAUUUCACACAGUGGAUGAAGACGUUAGAAGGCGGUGGAAAGAGUUAAUGGAAAUAUUCAGGCAAUCUCAGGAGCAUCUCAGACAUCUGAUGUUUUUGUCUCACCCAACGACAGAAGUGGAUGAAGACGUUAGAAGGCGGUGGAAAGAGUUAAUGGAAAUUAUUAGGCAAUUUCAGGAGCAUCUCAGACAUCUGAUGUUUUUGUCUCACCCAACGACAGAAGUGGAUGCAGACGUUAGAAGGCGGUGGAUGGAGAUAAUGGAAAUAUUCAGGCAAUCUCAGGAGCAUCUCAGACAUCUGAUGUUUUUGUCUCACCCAACGACAGAAGGCAAGAAUUGUUUUGGAAGUGAUUUGAUUUAUUGUUAUAAAAAAAUUUAUUCAUUCAUUCAUUUUGUUUUCGGCUUAGUCCCUUUAUUAAUCCGGGGUCACCACAGCGGAAUGAGCUGCCAACUUAUCUAGCACGUUUUUACGCAGCGGAUGCCCAGCUGCAACCCAUGACUGGGAAACAUCCACACACACUCAUUCACACACAUACACUAUGGACAAUUUAGCUUACCCAAUUCACCUGUACUGCAUGUUUUUGGACUGUGGGAGAAACCGGAGCACCCGGAGGAAACCCACACGAACGCAAGUAGAAAAUGCAAACUCCACACAGAAACGCCAACUGACCCAGCCGAGGCUCGAACCAGCGACCUUCUUGCUGUGAGGCAACAACACAACCC